ACAUGUGGUAUUUACACACAAACAUCUGCCACAAUAAUCAUAUUACUUGUAUUUUUUUAAACAAGCUCCUUAUAAACUGCACAAGUAGCAAUAAAUCACUGAUAUCGAUUAGGGGGGAAAUCAGGUUGUACGUGCUGUUGAAACUAACACAACUAAAAAACACAUGGAAAUGGGAGAUAUAUUUUACCUCACUGGUUAGAGGACAACCUGCAGAAGACAGUCAGCUACAUUUUGGAGUGAUGCAUUUAAAUUUAGGGGUCACUAAACAAAAGAACACAACACUUAUUUGUCAUAACUCAUCGAUAUCAUGUUGAAAUCAUUUGUGCAGAGAGGAGGGAGAUGAGGUUGCACAUCCUGUUAAAACUAACUGCUCAAAAACCACACGGAAUCUGGGAAUAAUGUGUACAUCCCUGGUUAGAGGACAAUUUGUAAAUGCAACACAUUUUGAAGUGUUGCAUUUUGAUUCAAGUGGGUCACCAACGUGGUAAGUGUAACACAACUCUUUUUUUGUUAGUCACUUUUUGUUAAAUCACAUAAAUAGUAACUCUUCCAUUUCAGAGCCUGGAUUUCCCCCCUGAGGCUAAUAUCCAUAUCAUGCUGAAAUCAAUAGAACAGGGGACAAACGUUUAGGGUUCUACAUUGUGACAUCAUUAAAAUACUCCUACUACAAUGUUUAAACAUUCUACAUUGUGACAUUAAUUCAUUGAUAUCAUGAAACAACUCCAUGUAUUUUCUGAUAUUUGAUCAGAGAUCUUUUAUCAGAUUAUCUCUGGUCACAGCCAUGAGAUUUCUCUCCUGUGUGUGUUUUCUGGUGUCUCUUCAGAUGGCCAGAUUGAACAAAACUCUUCCCACAUUGAUCACAGCUAAAAGGUUUCUCUCCUGUGCGUGUUCUCUGGUGGAAUUUCAGGCUGGUUGAUUGAGUAAAACUCUUCCCACAUUCAUCACAGCUAUACGAUUUCUCUCCUGUGUGUGUUCUUUGGUGUACAAUAAGAUGGCUAGAUGUAUCAAAACUCUUCCCACAUUGAGUACAGCAAUAAGCUUUCUCUACUGUGUGGCUUCUCCGAUGAAUUUUAAUGCCUGAUGAGGUGAAUCUCUUCCCACAGUCAGAGAGGUGAAUUAUCUUCCCUGUGGAUCUCUGCGGGUGUUUCUUGAGGUGUUCUGAUCUGGAGAGACUCUUCUCUGCCUCGUCACCAUCAUGAGGUUGUUGAGGCUCCCCAGAGGAUCCACGAUAGUCACGUCUCUCUCCUGUGUGAACAACAAAGUCAUACAGAUGGUUAAAGCCCCACAACAGCAGAAAUCCACUGUAAAAGGUGAUGCCAACAGCGUAGCCAUGUUGUAGUACAACAAUUGACG
rnacentral:lncRNA from 1 species